rnacentral:rRNA from 1 species
AUUGAACGCUGGCGGCAGGCCUAACACAUGCAAGUCGAACGAGCGGCGGACGGGUGAGUAGUGUCUGGGAAACUGCCUGAUGGAGCGGGUUGACUACUGGCAACGGUAGCUAAUCCCGCAUACCAUCUGAUGUGCCCAGGUGGGGUUGUCUAGUAGGUGGGGUAACGGCUCACAUGGGCGACGAGCCCUAGCUGGUCUGAGAGGAUGACCAGCCACACUGGAACUGAGACACGGUCCAGACUCCUCAGGGAGGCAGCAGUGGGGAAGAUGGCAUAAUGGGCGCAAUCGUGAUUCAGCCAUUCCGGGGGCGUGAAGAAGGCCUUCGGGUUUUAAAGUACUUUCAGCGGGUAGGCGUGUCCCGCAGAAGAAGCACCGGCUAACUCCGUGCCAGCCGCCGCGGUAAUAC